rnacentral:rRNA from 1 species
GGGUUGUGAGGUUAAGCGACUAAGCGUACACGGUGGAUGCCCUGGCAGUCAGAGGCGAUGAAGGACGUGCUAAUCUGCGAUAAGCGCCGGUAAGGUGAUAUGAACCGUUAUAACCGGCGAUUUCCGAAUGGGGAAACCCAGUGUGAUUCGUCACACUAUCAUUAACUGAAUCCAUAGGUUAAUGAGGCGAACCGGGGGAACUGAAACAUCUAAGUACCCCGAGGAAAAGAAAUCAACCGAGAUUCCCCCAGUAGCGGCGAGCGAACGGGGAGGAGCCCAGAGCCUGAAUCAGCAUGUGUGUUAGUGGAAGCGUCUGGAAAGGCGCGCGAUACAGGGUGACAGCCCCGUACACAAAAGCGCAUGUGCUGUGAGCUCGAUGAGUAGGGCGGGACACGUGGUAUCCUGUCUGAAUAUGGGGGGACCAUCCUCCAAGGCUAAAUACUCCUGACUGACCGAUAGUGAACCAGUACCGUGAGGGAAAGGCGAAAAGAACCCCGGCGAGGGGAGUGAAAAAGAACCUGAAACCGUGUACGUACAAGCAGUGGGAGCACUGACUGCGUACCUUUUGUAUAAUGGGUCAGCGACUUAUAUUCUGUAGCAAGGUUAACCGUAUAGGGGAGCCGGAGGGAAACCGAGUCUUAAUUGGGCGUUAAGUUGCAGGGUAUAGACCCGAAACCCGGUGAUCUAGCCAUGGGCAGGUUGAAGGUUGGGUAACACUAACUGGAGGACCGAACCGACUAAUGUUGAAAAAUUAGCGGAUGACCUGUGGCUGGGGGUGAAAGGCCAAUCAAACCGGGAGAUAGCUGGUUCUCCCCGAAAGCUAUUUAGGUAGCGCCUCGUGAAUUCAUCUCCGGGGGUAGAGCACUGUUUCGGCUAGGGGGCCAUCCCGGCUUACCAACCCGAUGCAAACUGCGAAUACCGGAGAAUGUUAUCACGGGAGACACACGGCGGGUGCUAACGUCCGUCGUGAAGAGGGAAACAACCCAGACCGCCAGCUAAGGUCCCAAAGUCAUGGUUAAGUGGGAAACGAUGUGGGAAGGCCCAGACAGCCAGGAUGUUGGCUUAGAAGCAGCCAUCAUUUAAAGAAAGCGUAAUAGCUCACUGGUCGAGUCGGCCUGCGCGGAAGAUGUAACGGGGCUAAACCAUGCACCGAAGCUGCGGCAGCGACACUGUGUGUUGUUGGGUAGGGGAGCGUUCUGUAAGCCUGUGAAGGUGGCCUGUGAGGGUUGCUGGAGGUAUCAGAAGUGCGAAUGCUGACAUAAGUAACGAUAAAGCGGGUGAAAAGCCCGCUCGCCGGAAGACCAAGGGUUCCUGUCCAACGUUAAUCGGGGCAGGGUGAGUCGACCCCUAAGGCGAGGCCGAAAGGCGUAGUCGAUGGGAAACGGGUUAAUAUUCCCGUACUUGGUGUUACUGCGAAGGGGGGACGGAGAAGGCUAUGUUGGCCGGGCGACGGUUGUCCCGGUUUAAGCGUGUAGGCUGGUUUUCCAGGCAAAUCCGGAAAAUCAAGGCUGAGGCGUGACGACGAGGCACUACGGUGCUGAAGCAACAAAUGCCCUGCUUCCAGGAAAAGCCUCUAAGCAUCAGGUAACAUCAAAUCGUACCCCAAACCGACACAGGUGGUCAGGUAGAGAAUACCAAGGCGCUUGAGAGAACUCGGGUGAAGGAACUAGGCAAAAUGGUGCCGUAACUUCGGGAGAAGGCACGCUGACACGUAGGUGAAGUGAUUUACUCAUGGAGCUGAAGUCAGUCGAAGAUACCAGCUGGCUGCAACUGUUUAUUAAAAACACAGCACUGUGCAAACACGAAAGUGGACGUAUACGGUGUGACGCCUGCCCGGUGCCGGAAGGUUAAUUGAUGGGGUCAGCGCAAGCGAAGCUCCUGAUCGAAGCCCCGGUAAACGGCGGCCGUAACUAUAACGGUCCUAAGGUAGCGAAAUUCCUUGUCGGGUAAGUUCCGACCUGCACGAAUGGCGUAAUGAUGGCCAGGCUGUCUCCACCCGAGACUCAGUGAAAUUGAACUCGCUGUGAAGAUGCAGUGUACCCGCGGCAAGACGGAAAGACCCCGUGAACCUUUACUAUAGCUUGACACUGAACAUUGAGCCUUGAUGUGUAGGAUAGGUGGGAGGCUUUGAAGUGUGGACGCCAGUCUGCAUGGAGCCGACCUUGAAAUACCACCCUUUAAUGUUUGAUGUUCUAACGUGGACCCGUAAUCCGGGUUGCGGACAGUGUCUGGUGGGUAGUUUGACUGGGGCGGUCUCCUCCUAAAGAGUAACGGAGGAGCACGAAGGUUGGCUAAUCCUGGUCGGACAUCAGGAGGUUAGUGCAAUGGCAUAAGCCAGCUUGACUGCGAGCGUGACGGCGCGAGCAGGUGCGAAAGCAGGUCAUAGUGAUCCGGUGGUUCUGAAUGGAAGGGCCAUCGCUCAACGGAUAAAAGGUACUCCGGGGAUAACAGGCUGAUACCGCCCAAGAGUUCAUAUCGACGGCGGUGUUUGGCACCUCGAUGUCGGCUCAUCACAUCCUGGGGCUGAAGUAGGUCCCAAGGGUAUGGCUGUUCGCCAUUUAAAGUGGUACGCGAGCUGGGUUUAGAACGUCGUGAGACAGUUCGGUCCCUAUCUGCCGUGGGCGCUGGAGAACUGAGGGGGGCUGCUCCUAGUACGAGAGGACCGGAGUGGACGCAUCACUGGUGUUCGGGUUGUCAUGCCAAUGGCACUGCCCGGUAGCUAAAUGCGGAAGAGAUAAGUGCUGAAAGCAUCUAAGCACGAAACUUGCCCCGAGAUGAGUUCUCCCUGAGACUUAGAGUCUCCUGAAGGAACGUUGAAGACGACGACGUUGAUAGGCCGGGUGUGUAAGCGCAGCGAUGCGUUGAGCUAACCGGUACUAAUGAACCGUGAGGCUUAACCUUACAACGCCGAAG